CGGGGGAGGCCAGAUCCUGGGCUGUGUCCCGGCGCCCUGGUCUCCCGGGCCUGCGCUGUUUGGAUUCGCAGUCCGGCUGCGCAGCCCUCU
rnacentral:pre_miRNA from 1 species